rnacentral:rRNA from 1 species
UACAGAGGCCUCGAGCGUUAGGCGGAAUCACUGGGCUUAAAGCGCGUGUAGGCGGAUGCCUAAGUACCUUGUGAAAUCCCACGGCUCAACCGUGGAACUGCUGGGUAUACUGGGCGUCUUGGGUCAUCUAGGGGCUGCCGGAACAAAUGGUGGAGCGGUGAAAUGCGUAGACAUCAUUUGGAACGCCAACGGCGAAAGCAGGCAGCUGGGGAUGCACCGACGCUGAGACACGAAAGCCAGGGGAGCGAACGGG